GAUGAAGAACGCAGCGAAAUGCGAUAAGUAAUGUGAAUUGCAGAAUUCAGUGAAUCAUCGAAUCUUUGAACGCACAUUGCGCCCGCUAGUAUUCUGGCGGGCAUGCCUGUCCGAGCGUCAUUUCAACCCUCAAGCCCCCGGGCUUGGUGUUGGGGAUCGGCGAGCCUCCGCGCCCGCCGUCCCCUAAAUCUAGUGGCGGUCUCGCUGUAGCUUCCUCUGCGUAGUAGCACACCUCGCACUGGGAAACAGCGCGGCCACGCCGUUAAACCCCCAACUUCUGAACGUUUGACCUCGGAUCAGGUAGGAAUACCCGCUGAACUUAAGCAGAUCAAUAAGCGGAGGA
rnacentral:misc_RNA from 1 species